CGCUGCCUUCCUGUCAGUCACACAGCCUGGGUGUUUCCGCUGGCUGGGCACAUGAGGACUUGGGUGAGGAGCCCAGGUGACCAUGGCAGGAAGGCACCCGGGCUGCCGCAGAGCGUGAGGGGCCUCCUCCUCCUCAAGGACAGCUGUGCCGCGGGGGGCCGCACGGGCAGCCUCACUUCGCCAUGGAGACAGGCUUGGGACAUCUGAGCAGGAGUCGGGUCUGCAGGGGCUGUGGCUCUGUGUGACGGGGGCCCAGCACAGCCCCUUGGUGCAGGGACUGGAAGUGCACCUGAGACCCCCGGGGGCAGUGCCCCCAGCUGCCAUCCCCUUGGUGCCCUGGGCUGAGUGAGGGUAACGCUCAGCCUCUGUGGCCGCAGGACGACGCCCCCAGCAGGCGGGGUCCUCAGGGAGACGGAGAUCCUGGUGGUCUCGGGAGGGGGUGAGGGGUUUCUCAGGGUUUUGGGACAGGGAAGUGUUCUUUAUUCAAUUUCCUCUCUACUUGCAAAAUGUCUUUGUAAGGGGAAAUAAGCACCUCGGUAUUUGUCCGCAGGCUGAAGGGGCUUUUUCAUCCCGAAUGAGUGUCAGCUUACCGAGCUCCCGGCCCUCUGGUGGCAGGACUGGUCAAGCCACCACUGCAGUGGUCACUUAAUGUCACCCAACACUGGGGACAGGGGGACCAGCACUGGACCCUGCGUGUAGAGGCCGGGAGAGGACAGCCUGCAGCUCAGACACACGUGUGGGGAUGGGCUGUGUUGGGCUGCUGCUUGUGUGAUCCAUGUGCUGCCUUACAGUGCACUUACAAAGCAGGCCAUCAUGCACAGCUGAGUGGAAUAAGACAGAAAUAAGGACAGACAGGCCGACCUCUCGUCUCCACCCGCUCAUCCAUCAGAAGGCCCCAGUGAAAGGUCAGCGUCUCAGCACAAGUGGCCUUCGGGUCCCUGAGAAGCAACCAGGCAGCUGUCACCAUAACCCACAGGUCAGAAGUCUCUACAGCAAAGCUAGAGGGAGCCGACAACGCUGGGCCCCGCCGUGCGGGCUCCGCACCACAGCCAGCGGCCUUCACCUCCACCAAGAGGAGAGCCGCUGGGCCACUCAGGCUCUCCCUGACUCCGUUCAGAUUCUGCCUCGGGCCCCUUGGGCUCUCACCAUAGGUCUGCUGCAGGGAACACAGGGCAGAAGCCUCCUGCCUGCCACGAGGGUAACUGGGCGACAGCGCCCAGGGCCCAUCCUCUUGUGCCCGCCUUUCGUCCCCCCGUGGUGGGCCCUGACUGUCUCAGGUUGGCUUUUCAAUUUUUCUCUGACUUGAAAUAGUUAUAUAUUUUGAAUACAAGUUAUUUGUUGGAUCUAAGCAGAGCUAAUACCUUAGCCACUUUCUUCACGGUGCAUGUGGAUGGACAGAGGGUUCUAGUUUUAUGAUAUCUCAAUUUUAUUUAAAAAACCUUUCUAUGAUGAACGCUAUUUGCUGAUUCUGUUCUGCCUUCUACACAGUUUGCUGUUGCAGCUUUUACAGCUGCACCGGAAGGCAGCUCUGUUCUCAUCUCUGGUCCUGGUAGAUAAUAAACCUCUUCUCUUUGCCUGCUUUUCAGUUCUUUAUGAAUUUCACCGACGUACUUAUGUUGUACCAAUUAUUUUCAUUUGUAUAUUUCCUUGGUAGUGGCUGAAUUAUUGGAUCCAUGGGUUUACAGAUUGUGGAAAAUAUUUUGCCAUUUCACUGUAAAUAUUUUCUUCUGUACUAUCGUCUUUUUUCUGAGAUUUCAACUCCAUGUAUGUGGGGCUGGUUGAUACUCUCUCAUGAACCAGAGAUGUGCUGUUCUGUGCUUUAUCUUUAAAACCCCCCCAUGAUUUAUUUUGGGUAGUUUUUAUUGUCAUAUUUUCAGUAUAAAAAAGAAUGAUCUUUUUUCCUGCAGUGUCUGUCUUUUUUCCUGUUUGCUGGGAAGAUCAUGCACUAUAUCUUUCCUGCUGGAUGUGUCUUCUCAUUUCUCGAUAUGAUCAUCCUCUCCUGCGUGCCUGGUCAUUUUUGAUGGGACAUUAUGCUGCUGAUGCUGGAUUUUGUAGUAUUCCUUUGAUAAAUAUUGGGCUUUGUUCUUCCAAAAUUACUUUAAUUUUGAGAUUUGCUUUGAGGCAUUUCUGGGGCCUGGGGCAGAACAAUAGGAAAUUCAGCCCUUCUCCUACAGCACUUCCUUUCAAGAACUCUUCAGGGUCCUGUGUGUCCCAAGGUCUCUUCUCCAACUGGUGGAACACACACAUCCCAAGCCUGUGUCAGUCCAAGGCAUGUCCAGCCUCAGGCAUCCAGUGGUCACGUGCCCUGCCUCAUGUGGGUUCUUCUCUUGUGUGUACAGAUGGUGACCUCUGGGCUCAUGCUCUGGGCUAUGACCUCCUCUCCACUAUUUUGCUCUGCUGAUCCUGGCUGCCACAGCCUCCCUGAACUCUAAUCUGAGUCUCAACUCAGCAACUCUGGUAGGCUGUGUAGAGCACCCUCCCUACACCUGUCUAACUCUAACACCCCAUCUCACCAAUGAGGCCCCCGAAGCCUCAUGUGAUCAUGGGGGGUUGGCUUUUUGGAGGUGGCUGAAUCUAGAGUUUGUGAUUGGUUCAUGGUCUAAUGCUGAAAUUAAAGGUGUGAAUGCUAUACCUGCCCUAGGUGGGUAGUUUACAUAUACUAGAAGGGAGGGAAAGAGGCUGCUCUCUUCCUCUCUCCUCUUUGUUGCUUUGCUGUCUUCUGCCACCAUGAACUGUUGCCCUCUGCCAUGUGCUACUCUUCCUUGGAGCCAGUGGAUUAUGGACUGAAACCUCCACAAACUGUGAGCUAA
rnacentral:lncRNA from 1 species